AACGAGGCUGGUGUUUCAAGGCGUUGACGAUCCAAAGGCCUGACUCCACAGCGGUAAUGAGCCUCGUCUACCUUGCACUUUGACGGACAACGCUCACUACCAACACUUCUAGAAGCCUCCGCCACCGCCGUAAGAUUGCAUCGCGCACACGGUCUACUCUUAACGACCGCCACCGCCACCGCCGCUGCCGCCGUUGAGGGAGAUGGCUGGAUGAGUGGGUGAUAGAGGCGAGGCAGGUGUGGUGAGGCGGAGGAUUGGAGACGAGAACCUACAGAUGACGGCAGACACGGAAGAUUCCACUAACCAGGAGUUGGUGAUCCGAAGCCAUGACUGCAGCGAUCCCGUGCGUCCUGCACCAUCAAGGGAAAAGGACUCUCUGGCUUCGCACUGCGCCUACAUUGACCGUUGCCGCUGCUACCGCUACUCGGAGGGGCACUGCCUCGCAUUGGGCCUUCACUGCCGUCCCGCUAAUACACGUGUCGCCGUCGCAGCUACUGGCACUGAGGGACUUCGCCUCGCAGCGGCCUGGCAAACACCUGCUACACCACCACCACCACUAACUCCACCACCGCAGUCCAGAGAUUCAGCUUCGCAUAGCAGACAUCCUCCUAUUCAACGCUUGCUGCCACUACCACCUCAUUAUGGUGGUGUCACUGUACUUGGAUCUGUUGUCACUACUGAAUAAUAAUGUGUAAAGAAA